rnacentral:rRNA from 1 species
UACGUAGGGUGCGAGCGUUAAUCGGAAUUACUGGGCGUAAAGCGUGCGCAGGCGGUUUGUUAAGUCAGAUGUGAAAGCCCCGGGCUCAACCUGGGAACUGCGUUUGAAACUGGCAAGCUAGAGUUUGGGAGAGGGAGGUAGAAUUCCACGUGUAGCAGUGAAAUGCGUAGAUAUGUGGAGGAACACCGAUGGCGAAGGCAGCCUCCUGGCCUAAAACUGACGCUCAUGCACGAAAGCGUGGGGAGCAAACAGG